rnacentral:rRNA from 1 species
CGAACGCGGCGCGUGCCUAUACAUGCAAGUCGAGCGAAUGGAUUAAGAAGCUGCUCUUAUGAAGUUAGCGGCGGACGGGUGAGUAACACGUGGGUAAACCUGCCCAUAAGACUGGGAUAACUCCGGGAAACCGGGGCUAAUACCGGAUAACAUUUUGCACCACAUGGUGCGAAAUUGAAAGGCGGCUUCGGCUGUCACUUAUGGAUGGACCCGCGUCGCAUUAGCUAGUUGGUGAGGUAACGGCUCACCAAGGCGACGAUGCGUAGCCGACCUGAGAGGGUGAUCGGCCACACUGGGACUGAGACACGGCCCAGACUCCUACGGGAGGCAGCAGUAGGGAAUCUUCCGCAAUGGACGAAAGUCUGACGGAGCAACGCCGCGUGAGUGAUGAAGGCUUUCGGGUCGUAAAACUCUGUUGUUAGGGAAGAACAAGUGCUAGUUGAAUAAGCUGGCACCUUGACGGUACCUAACCAGAAAGCCACGGCUAACUACGUGCCAGCAGCCGCGGUAAUACGUAGGUGGCAAGCGUUAUCCGGAAUUAUUGGGCGUAAAGCGCGCGCAGGUGGUUUCUUAAGUCUGAUGUGAAAGCCCACGGCUCAACCGUGGAGGGUCAUUGGAAACUGGGAGACUUGAGUGCAGAAGAGGAAAGUGGAAUUCCAUGUGUAGCGGUGAAAUGCGUAGAGAUAUGGAGGAACACCAGUGGCGAAGGCGACUUUCUGGUCUGUAACUGACACUGAGGCGCGAAAGCGUGGGGAGCAAACAGGAUUAGAUACCCUGGUAGUCCACGCCGUAAACGAUGAGUGCUAAGUGUUAGAGGGUUUCCGCCCUUUAGUGCUGAAGUUAACGCAUUAAGCACUCCGCCUGGGAGUACGUCCGUAG